CAAUAACAAAUAUGGCGGAAUCUGUAUUGUCAAACACGGAAGAAGAAGGAUACAACCAUAAUUAAACCAAGAAGUUUAUGAAGAAGGGAUCACUGGAUUUUGUCACUUUGGUACAAGAAACAGAAAAGGAUAUCAUAGACCACCUUACUUAUACAGAAGCAUAGGAGCUGUUGAAGGAAAUUGCUGCCAGACAGUCAGCAGUUAUCACUGACAGCCUGUCCUGGCCCAGCUUGGACCAUCCUCAAGCUAACCAUGAUGGUGUGUUUGCAAGAAUUGUCCAUUUGGUAGACCAUGAUGAAGACCAGCUUUGUUGUGGCAUGGCCUGACAAUACUGUACAAGCCAGAGACCAGAAACGUUUUGGAACAACGUGUUGACACUGAAGAUGUGGAGGACACAGAUUGAUCACAGUACAUCCUUUGGAUACAUGGACACCUUCAACGGGACGACAACAAAACUGUACCUGCC